rfam:Picea glauca, whole genome shotgun sequence.
AUUUAUAUUCCUACAACAUUAAUACAUCGAAUCAAAUUAUAAAUUCAUAGUUAAGUGCACUUGGGAUAGAGUAGUAUUGGGAUGGGUGACCUCCUAAGAAGUCCUAGUGUUUUACAUG